AUCUUGUAGCCUGGUGAUGCC
rnacentral:siRNA from 1 species